rnacentral:rRNA from 1 species
UAGUGAAUCUUCGGCAAUGGACGAAAGUCUGACCGAGCAACGCCGCGUGAGUGAAGAAGGUUUUCGGACCGUAAAACUCUGUUGUUAGAGAAGAACAAGGACGUUAGUAACUGAACGUCCCCUGACGGUAUCUAACCAGAAAGCCACGGCUAACUACGUGCCAGCAGCCGCGGUAAUACGUAGGUGGCAAGCGUUGUCCGGAUUUAUUGGGCGUAAAGCGAGCGCAGGCGGUUUCUUAAGUCUGAUGUGAAAGCCCCCGGCUCAACCGGGGAGGGUCAUUGGAAGCUGGGAGACUUGAGUGCAGAAGAGGAGAGUGGAAUUCCAUGUGUAGCGGUGAAAUGCGUAGAUAUAUGGAGGAACACCAGUGGCGAAGGCGGCUCUCUGGUCUGUAACUGACGCUGAGGCUCGAAAGCGUGGGGAGCAAACAGG